rnacentral:rRNA from 1 species
GUCUCUUUGAUUAGAUAUAAUAAAGAGUUGGGCCUGCUCGGUGAUAUUUUUAACAGCUGCGGUAUUAUAACUGUACUAAGGUAGCAUAAUAAUUUCCCUUAUAAAUUAAGGCUAGAAUGAAUGGUUUGACGAAAAUUAAUCUGUCUCUAUUAUAAUUAUUAGAAGUUAAUGUUUAUAGUGAAAAAGCUUAAAUUAUUUAAAGGGACGAGAAGACCCUAUUGAGCUUGAUAUUAAAAUAUAAAUUUUUUUUAAAGUUAAUAUAAUUAUGUUAUGGGUUUAAAUUUUGAUUGGGGUGAUCAAGGAAUAAAAAAGAUUAAUGUAUAUAUAUAUUAACUUCCUUAUAUAUAAAUAUUUAUAGAUAAAUAAACCGAGAGUUUUGCUUAAAAGUAAGUUACCAUAGGGAUAACAGGGUAAUUUUUUUAGAGAGUUCUUAUUAAAAAAAAAGAUUGCGACCUCGAUGUUGGAUUAAAAUUACCUUUGGGUGCAGAAGCUCAGAUAGGUGAAUCUGUUCGAUUUUUAAAAUUUUAC